rnacentral:rRNA from 1 species
GGACGAACGCUGGCGGCGUGCUUAACACAUGCAAGUCGAACGGAAAGGCCCUGCUUUUGUGGGGUGCUCGAGUGGCGAACGGGUGAGUAACACGUGAGUAACCUGCCCUUGACUUUGGGAUAACUUCAGGAAACUGGGGCUAAUACCGGAUAGGAGCUCCUGCUGCAUGGUGGGGGUUGGAAAGUUUCGGCGGUUGGGGAUGGACUCGCGGCUUAUCAGCUUGUUGGUGGGGUAGUGGCUUACCAAGGCUUUGACGGGUAGCCGGCCUGAGAGGGUGACCGGCCACAUUGGGACUGAGAUACGGCCCAGACUCCUACGGGAGGCAGCAGUGGGGAAUAUUGCACAAUGGGCGGAAGCCUGAUGCAGCAACGCCGCGUGCGGGAUGACGGCCUUCGGGUUGUAAACCGCUUUCGCCUGUGACGAAGCGUGAGUGACGGUAAUGGGUAAAGAAGCACCGGCUAACUACGUGCCAGCAGCCGCGGUGAUACGUAGGGUGCGAGCGUUGUCCGGAUUUAUUGGGCGUAAAGGGCUCGUAGGUGGUUGAUCGCGUCGGAAGUGUAAUCUUGGGGCUUAACCCUGAGCGUGCUUUCGAUACGGGUUGACUUGAGGAAGGUAGGGGAGAAUGGAAUUCCUGGUGGAGCGGUGGAAUGCGCAGAUAUCAGGAGGAACACCAGUGGCGAAGGCGGUUCUUUUGGGCCUUUCCUGACGCUGAGGAGCGAAAGCGUGGGGAGCGAACAGGCUUAGAUACCCUGGUAGUCCACGCUGUAAACGGUGGGUACUAGGUGUGGGGUCCAUUCCACGGGUUCCGUGCCGUAGCUAACGCUUUAAGUACCCCGCCUGGGGAGUACGGCCGCAAGGCUAAAACUCAAAGGAAUUGACGGGGCCCCGCACAAGCGGCGGAGCAUGCGGAUUAAUUCGAUGCAACGCGUAGAACCUUACCUGGGUUUGACAUGGAUCGGGAGUGCUCAGAGAUGGGUGUGCCUCUUUUGGGGUCGGUUCACAGGUGGUGCAUGGCUGUCGUCAGCUCGUGUCGUGAGAUGUUGGGUUAAGUCCCGCAACGAGCGCAACCCUUGUUCACUGUUGCCAGCACGUUAUGGUGGGGACUCAGUGGAGACCGCCGGGGUCAACUCGGAGGAAGGUGGGGAUGACGUCAAGUCAUCAUGCCCCUUAUGUCCAGGGCUUCACGCAUGCUACAAUGGCUGGUACAGAGAGUGGCGAGCCUGUGAGGGUGAGCGAAUCUCGGAAAGCCGGUCUCAGUUCGGAUUGGGGUCUGCAACUCGACCUCAUGAAGUCGGAGUCGCUAGUAAUCGCAGAUCAGCAACGCUGCGGUGAAUACGUUCCCGGGGCUUGUACACACCGCCCGUCAAGUCAUGAAAGUUGGUAACACCCGAAGCCGGAGGCCUAACCGUUGUGGGGGAGCCGUCGAAGGUGG